GCGAGGCGCGAGGCGGAGGGGCGCGGGCGGGAACGGCGGAGCUGCGCCUCGGCGACCGCGUCGCGCAGGGCAGCACGGGGCCCGGCCGGGCCGGCGGUGUCCGUGGGCGCGCGGUACUGGUCGGAAGGUCGGGCGGUGAAAGCCCGAGCUUCAGCCAAGCAGAUGCAGCCCUGGAGGUCCCCAACCUGGUGCAUGUCAGGAUAAGGUGCUCCCGUUAGAAGCCCUUCCAGCCGCUUGCCUGGUGAAGCUCAUGCGGAGUUAGUCACGGCUGAUGGAGCAGCCUGAGGGGAAGAGAGUCUGCCCAGAAAUCAGGAGGACAGCUUUCAGUUCUGCCUAAUGGGAAUCAGGCCUGCACCUUCACAGCGGUGUCUGGGCCUCCCGCUGCCCCCGGGCCAGGUGGGCAGGGACCCCUGGGCCAGGUGGACACUGAAGCACAUCUCAUGGCCCCGGGCAGAACCCGCACCACGCUGCGCCACAGAAGGACACGCGUGCUGCGUCGCAGCGGGCAGCAAUGGCAUCUGGACAAAAGCUCCGGGUCACGGCUCCUCCUUGGGUUGCUCCGGGAGCUUAUAUUUAGCAGUGCUGGGAUGAAAACCAGAGAUAUGCUUAAACAAACAUUGCUGAUGUUUGUUUUCCCCUCAAAGAUUUGCAGUUGUCAUCUGCAGCGCAGCGUGAGUGAGGCGGAGGUUUUCAUCUUUGCCUUGAAAUUUCCUUUUCCCCACUCACUGUGAACAAUAGCAUGAUCCUGUUUGUUAUUCAAGUUUAAUUACUCAAGUUUAAAUAAUGGAUGCGAACUUAAAAUAAUACUUCUAUGCAGGGGUCCUUGCAUCCAAGCAGGGAUAAAAUAAGCACGGCAAGAGGGAUGUCCUGAUGGCAACAGCCCUGAUGAAGCAGCCCAGACAGCAGAGAAGAGCUCUGAGGGUGAGAAGGGAGGAGAGCUGUCACCAUUACUUGCUUCAUUUUCCUGCUCCUCACCCUCCAUCUGCUCCGUGGUAGCAGAGGCAGCCCUGAGGACCAAGACGCAGUCCCUGCCUUGUUGGUAGAAGAUGGAGAAAACAUACCACCCAUCUCCCCCCUUGUCCAGUCUCUUCUGUUCCUCGGAAGAACCAUCCCAUUGGUUUGUGCCUUUCAGUCAAAUGCCAAGCCCUUCCAAACACAACAUUUUGGCAGCACUUCGUCCUCCACUCAGGAACAGUUGUUCACUCCAUGGUCUGCAGUUUGCCUUCUACAGCACAUUGCUUCCUCGCUGUUCUUCAGUGGGACACAGCAGGGCGUUUCCUUGUGCCUCACAGAGCAAUUUUCAUCAGACUGGUACUGAAAUACCAUUGAAGAAGCACUGCAGCGUAACAAUACCUAAUGCUGCAAGGAGAUCAUUUCAGCUCAUCAAGCCAUACACCUUCCCAACAGAGAUGACAAGAAUAGCAAAGCCAAAGCCUCUUGCACUGGCACCUCUGCAUACACGUCAGGCUGCCAGGAGAUUCUGUUCGAAAGUUGCAAAUACUGUUUAACAUUGCACAAGGCAGAUGGGUAAGGUCUCUCUUCAUCAGUAGCAGUAACCACGGGCAUUAACAGGCAUCCAUCAUUUGAGUUUUGCUCAGUAAUAAAGGCACAGUGUUUGAAACACAAUCACGUAGUUGCCUUUGUGGAAGUUGUUGACAUGCAAACUACUGUGACUUGAAGAUUAAUGCAGCAAUUCUUUAGUACCUACUUUACUAUACAUAGGGCCAUGGAAACACAAAUGAGUUUCGAGUUACAUCUUGCCAUGAAGUAAGUGCUAUUAAUCUCUGUUCUCGCUUCACUGUUCUUCAAAGAGAACAUGAGAACACUUGAGAAAAACUAUGUUACCAGCAGGCACAA